CCUACGGGAGGCAGCAGUGAGGAAUAUUGGUCAAUGGACGAGAGUCUGACCCAGCCAAGUAGCGUGAAGGAUGACUGCCCUAUGGGUUGUAAACUUCUUUUAUAUGGGAAUAAAAUGUUCCACGUGUGGGAUUUUGUAUGUACCAUAUGAAUAAGGAUCGGCUAACUCCGUGCCAGCAGCCGCGGUAAUACGGAGGAUCCGAGCGUUAUCCGGAUUUAUUGGGUUUAAAGGGAGCGUAGGUGGAUUGUUAAGUCAGUUGUGAAAGUUUGCGGCUCAACCGUAAAAUUGCAGUUGAAACUGGCAGUCUUGAGUAAAGGAGAGGUGGGCGGAAGGCGGGGGGGAGCGGUGAAAUGCUUAGAUAUCACGAAGAACUCCGAUGGCGAAGGCAGCUUACUGGACUGCAACUGACACUGAGGCGCGAAAGUGUGGGUAUCAAACAGGAUUAGAUACCCUUGUAGUC
rnacentral:rRNA from 1 species